GUGAGUCCCAGAGGCGCAGCCCGCCCGGCCCUUAUCCCUCCUCCCGCGCCCCCGCGCUCCCUUGCCGGGGGUUCUAGGCCGGGCGAGGGGCGGGGGCGAGGACGCUGUCCUGCGCGGACACCGACUGUGCGCUAGAGUCUGCCGAGGGGCGGGGGUGGUCUGGGGGCUCCGGAGGUGCUCACUGUUCCGGGGGUAAGUUCUCACGGGCUGCUCGCUCCGUGCCAGGCUCUGCAGUACAGGUAUCCGGUGUCCCGGGAGCCCGGAGGCGGAGGAUUAACGCUGGGGGCGGGGGCGACGUGGGAGACGCCUGGUGGAGGGCUCGAGCGUCCGGCAUUCCUCCCUUCCAGGUGCGGGGGGGGGCCUUGAGGAAGGCGCGGAGGUGAGCGGCGAAAGUGGAGGAACCAAUUCUGAAGUCCAUGAGGAAAAUAAAGGUUCAAGAAUAAAGAACCCAAAAAGACUUGAACGGACAUGUCUCCAAAGAAAAUGCACCAGUGACCAACAAACAGCACAUGGAAAGAUGCUCAGCAUCGUUUGUCACGGGGAAAUGCAAAUCACACCCUCGGUGAGGUAACACCUCACACCCACUGGGAUGGCUACUAUCAAAAAAAAUCCAAAAAAAGAAAAUAAUGAGGAUGUGAUGCUUGGAGCUGCAGCAGCCAUCAGACAACCAAGAGGAGAAGACCAGGAACAGAGCAGAGAGACCAGUCCAGAUUCCUGCCAUUGCUGACCUGGACCCAGCGCCGAUAAACGCCUUUCUCUUAUUCAGUCAAACAGGCAAAAAGCCCUCACUGUCGUUUAAGCUCCUUUGGGUUGAAUGUUCUGUUACUUGCAGUCCAAACAUCUGUGUAUCAUAGUGUGUUUAGAUCAGCUUUCUCCAGACUGUUGUUUAGAAUAUUAGUGGUAAAUGUUUCUGUAAAAGAAAAGUCAAUUUUAGUGAUAUAUGUAUAUAUUUUUAAAAAUAAAAAUGUGUUAUCCCUGCCCCGCCCCGCCCCGGGCGUGACCUCUGGGCACUGAGCCUCUGUUUCUGGCGACCGCCACGAUGCGGUCUCUUCUCUUUAGGGAGGGGGAAGUUGGGAAGAAACUCCUUGAGGGCUUCUCCAGGAUGACCCGUGAGCCAGGAUACCUGCAGAACGGGCUGGGACCGAGCUCUCGAGAACCUCCCUGUGACGUCCGUCCAUUCCAUCAGCCCUACGUACGCACUGCGCAGCCCGGAGCGUGGCCGUGGGAGGACGGGCAAAGAAAGGCACUCCCAUCAGGGAGAUGUCUGGAGCACCGGCCCCUCUGACAGCGAGUUGGGGACAUCCCACGGAUCAUGGAUGCAGCUGUGGAUGGAGGCACCGAGAACACAGCCAGGAAGAGGGGCAGCCUCCCCACCCCGUCAUUUGGUGGACUUGUGUGGCAGUUCUCUGCGUCGUGUGUUAAUCCUGGCAUGGGCGGCAUGCACACCGACAGUGGGCAGGAACGGGGUGAUGGUGGUGAUCGCUGCCACUGUAUUAGCAGAAGUGACCGUCCCGAAGCUCUUCUCCCGGGGCCUUUCUCACCCACCCCUGCCCAGACUGAGACCUGCCCGCGGGUCUCCGAGGGCUCUCUCAGGAAGCAAGCAGACUCCCGACAGGUCGGGGUGCCUGAGUGAUGGCGGCACUUGUCCAGUGGGUGGCCUUCCUCGUGGUCACUUGGAUUCUCCUCCUGCCUGGGAAGCGGGACCGUGCAAAGCCAGCCCUGGCACUGUGGGGACGACUUGGCUCACACAUGAGUCACCGGAGGAAAGCCGGGCCUGGAGACGAGGUCCCCCCAGUGAAAGUUGACGCUGUGACACCCGUGGGUGACUUUGUCGAAUGGCUAGUGAAAAACUGACUCAUUUGCUGCCCACAGAUGUGGCACCGUGUGCACAUACGUGUGGUCACCUGCUGGGGCCGUGGGGUGAUGUUCUGGUCCCUUCUGUAGUCAGCAAGCCGGCAGUGGAGCUUCGAAUGAAGACUGGCGGGAGAGUCCCCCGGCCCUGGGAACUGAAGGCUUCCGCAUUCGUCAAAAGACCACUUUUUGUGAAGCAAAGUGCCUUUCGAUUUUGAGUCACAGAAUGGAAGUUUUUGUUUCAUGUCUCGGAUUGAUUUUGUAUUUUUUGACACUUCACACUUAUUUCCUUUGUGUGUUUUAACUCAUGCACA
rnacentral:lncRNA from 1 species